UACGGGGGGGGCAAGCGUUGUUCGGAAUUACUGGGCGUAAAGGGCUCGUAGGUGGCCAACUAAGUCAUACGUGAAAUCCCUCAGCUUAACUGGGGAACUGCGCCUGAUACUGGUUGGCUUGAGUUUGGGAGAGGGACGCGGAAUUCCAGGUGUAGCGGUGAAAUGCGUAGAUAUCUGGAGGAACACCGGUGGCGAAGGCGGCGUCCUGGACCAACACUGACACUGAGGAGCGAAAGCCAGGGGAGCAAACGGG
rnacentral:rRNA from 1 species